rnacentral:rRNA from 1 species
ACGGGGGCGCAGCAGGCGCGAAAACUUUACAAUGCGGGAAACCGUGAUAAGGGAACACCGAGUGCCAGCAUCAUAUGCUGGCUGUCCAGAUGUGUAAACUACAUCUGUUAGCAAGGGCCGGGCAAGACCGGUGCCAGCCGCCGCGGUAACACCGGCGGCCCGAGUGGUGACCGUUAUUAUUGGGUUCUAAAGGGUCCGUAGCCGGUUUGGUCAGUCCUCCGGGAAAUCUGAUAGCUCAACUAUUAGACUUUCGGGGGAUACUGCCAGGCUUGGAACCGGGAGAGGUAAGAGGUACUACAGGGGUAGGAGUGAAAUCUUGUAAUCCCUGUGAGACCACCUGUGGCGAAGGCGUCUUACCAGAACGGGUUCGACGGUGAGGGACGAAAGCUGGGGGCACGAACCGGAUUAGAUACCCCGGGUAGUCCCAGCCGUAAACUAUGCUCGCUAGGUGUCAGGCAUGGCGCGACGUGUCUGGUGCCGCAGGAAGCCGUGAAGCGAGCCACCUGGGAAGUACGGCCGCAAGGCUGAAACUUAAAGGAAUUGGCGGGGGAGCACAACAACGGGUGGAGCCUGCGGUUUAAUUGGACUCAACGCCGGACAACUCACCGGGGACGACAGCAAUAUGUAGGCCAGGCUGAAGACCUUGCCUGAAUCGCUGAGAGGAGGUGCAUGGCCGUCGCCAGUUCGUACUGUGAAGCAUCCUGUUAAGUCAGGCAACGAGCGAGACCCGUGCCCACUGUUACCAGCAUAUCCUCCGGGAUGAUGGGUACUCUGUGGGGACCGCUGAUGUUAAAUCAGAGGAAGGUGCGGGCCACGGUAGGUCAGUAUGCCCCGAAUUUCCCGGGCUACACGCGGGCUACAAUGAAUGGGACAAUGGGUCCCUACCCUGAAAAGGGUUGGUAAUCUCACAAACCCAUCCGUAGUUCGGAUUGAGGGCUGUAACUCGCCCUCAUGAAGCUGGAAUCCGUAAGUAACCGCGUUUCAAUAUAGCGCGGUGAAUACGUCCCUGCUCCUUGCACACAACGCCCGUCAAAGCNCAACCCGAGUGAGGUAUCGGGUCACGAGGCACAGAACGAUGUGUCGAUGUUCGAACCUUGUGCUUUGCAAAGGGGGGGGUUAAAGUCGUAACACAAGGUUAAGCCGUAAAUCCGAAAUUCCCCGCGGCCGCCCAUGGCANGCCGGGGAGCAUGCAGACAGUCGG